rnacentral:rRNA from 1 species
AUUGAACGCUGGCGGCAGGCUUAACACAUGCAAGUCGAGCGGUAACAGGAAGAAGCUUGCUUCUUUGCUGACGAGCGGCGGACGGGUGAGUAAUGCCUGGGAAUCUGCCUGGUAGUGGGGGAUAACUUGCCGAAAGGUAAGCUAAUACCGCGUACGCCCUACGGGGGAAAGCAGGGGAUCUUCGGACCUUGCGCUAUCAGAUGAGCCCAGGCCGGAUUAGCUAGUUGGUGGGGUAAAGGCCUACCAAGGCGACGAUCCGUAGCUGGUCUGAGAGGAUGAUCAGCCACACCGGGACUGAGACACGGCCCGGACUCCUACGGGAGGCAGCAGUGGGGAAUAUUGGACAAUGGGGGGAACCCUGAUCCAGCCAUGCCGCGUGUGUGAAGAAGGUCUUCGGAUUGUAAAGCACUUUAAGUUGGGAGGAAGAGCUCCGGGUUAAUACCCUGCGAGUUUUGACGUUACCAACAGAAUAAGCACCGGCUACUUCGUGCCAGCAGCCGCGGUAAUACGAANGGUGCGAGCGUUAAUCGGAAUUACUGGGCGUAAAGCGCGCGUAAGUGG